rnacentral:lncRNA from 1 species
ACAGUCCUAAAAUUCGUUAUGACGAAAGUUUAAAUCUUAAUUUAAGCUGAUUAAAUUUACUUUUUAUCAACAUAUUUCAUACAAAUCACAACUUAAAUUCAAUUAUUAUUCAUACAUUUUGUAUAAUCCAAGGUAUGAAAACAUUUAAAGCAAAGUAAAAUAAGAACAAAGAAUUGAAGUGUCUUUUAAAACAUAGAUAUAGAAACAACAAAAAUAAUAUCCAGCCCCCGGUGUCAGGGGUUAUAAUGUCAAUAUGUUGAAAUGGUGUUGCUACAUCAGCCUAUCAAACCUUUUUUCUUUUGAAAAGUCAAAAAAAUACGAUUUGACCAUUGAUGUAGCAACGACUCAUCAACAGUGAACAAUAGUUAUCUUGCUCACUAGAGACAAGAAAUCAAACUCUGAAAGAACCAAACCUUCACAAACCUAUUUGAUUUCAGGUUUCUCUCUCGAGUCUCUUUCUUCCAGGAAUACAAGAAGAUUUCUAGAAUAAAAUCAACGGCGACAUUUCUAAAUUCUGACCAAUCUUAUAUUUCACUAUUCUUAUUUCAAAUCACAUAACUCUUCACAAAACGAAAUACCAGUAACAUUCAUCAUCCACGACAAAAACAACUAAUUCAUCACACCACCACCACCACCAGCCAAUGGAAAUCAUUGUCAAAACACAACCCAACAGGAAUUACAGCCAUAGCUAAGAGUUCGAGACUAUCGAUUACCUAUAUAUUCCUUAACAAAGAUGGACUAAAAAGAACACCACAACUUACUACCAUCACUUGUAGGCAAGAUGAUCGGGUUGUCUAAGCACGCUCACCCCUAAUCCGACGAGCUAGCUGGAUAUCCUUGGGCAUGAUUGUCACACGCUUGGCAUGGAUGGCACACAGGUUNUUUCUAGUAUCAACAUAUUGAAUGGUUAGAAUGUUGAUGUAAUGAACACUUCAAAAUCGUUAAUCUUUAAAGUACAAUUUUGAUCAGUCUGUAAUUGCUUUAGAUUGGUUACAUCUUUAGUAUAUUUGACUUCUGUUUUAUAUAACUGCAAACAUGCAUCAGUGUCCAACUUUUCCCUUUUAGUAAAGCUUGACUUGGUACAGUGUGUAAAAAGAUGUGGGAUACUUUAAAAUUGUUUUCAAAGCAGAAUUAGCUCAUUUUGGCAGUUGAGUUGAAAAAAACAAUUUUAUUGUGGGUGCAUGAGAUGUAGUUUGCAUAUAUGUAAUAUUCUGUUAUUUAUGUCAAAAGGCAGGGGACAUCUUAGGUCAGUUUUGUCAAUAUCUAAAACUUAGAAUUAGCUUUUGUCUGCAAUUUGGAAUGUGCACGUAUGAAAUGAAUUUUGAUAACCCACAUUGCCAUUAAAACUACCCACAUAACUGACCGUGGAUCUUAUCAUCAUCUUGUUCAAUCUCAUGAUUUAGAUGUGGAGAUCGACAUUUCAAUAGAAAUAUGUUAUGUGAUAUUUGUGUAGCCUGUUGGUUUUGAACUGUCAUUUUGUUAUCUCAUAUGUUAAAUGAAGAUGCCUUGGUAAUAUGGAUCGUAGAGGCCAUAUUGAUAUUGCUGCUAAUGUUUCCAUCUAAAAGCUUGUCUAGGAAGUGUUAAUAAAUGGCAACUCAUUUAUGUAUAUAUAGAACUAAUUGUUGGAUAAGUGAGUACUACUUGUGGGUCUUAUUGAAAUGUGUG